rnacentral:rRNA from 1 species
CCUACGGGAGGCAGCAGUGGGGAAUAUUGCACAAUGGAGGAAACUCUGAUGCAGCGACGCCGCGUGAACGAUGAAGGCUUUCGGGUCGUAAAGUUCUGUCCUUGGGGACGAUAAUGACGGUACCCAAGGAGGAAGCCCCGGCUAACUACGUGCCAGCAGCCGCGGUAAU